AGGGGUGUAGAUGGUCUUGUCUGUCUGGAUAAAGAUGUAGCCAGCAUGAGGAGCCACCAGCACUAUCUUCUCCAUGAAUGAGGAGUCCGAGGAGGGUGCCCAAGUUGCCCGGAUGAUGGCAUAUUGCUGUCCUGGUUUUGGGGGGUACACCAGGCUCUCGGGAACCUGACAGAGAGAGAUAUCCAUACUCCUCAGGCUCUGCUGGGGUCUCCCUGACUGGGAGUAAAGCCCUGGGACAGAUCCUGGGAGGAGCAAUUGACUGAGGAUCUUCUGGUUCUGCCUUUGGGAGCUAUGUUGCCAUGUGCAGUUGUGCAGGUUGCUCACUGAACGAGAGCACCCAGCCAAAGGAAGGACGAAAUCCAGUCCAUGAUCAACUUCCCAAGCUACCAACAGAAGGCACCUUUUAUAGUUCUCGGAGAGGCAUCAAAUGGGCUAGUGGAGGCUUCCUGGAGCCCAGGCUUAGGGACUUUUGACUUCUAAAUGGACAGGAUGUUAGAGGAGCGACAGGAAUGUAAGGUCCUGUGAACAUACUACACCAUGAUCGAGCCAUUGUGGUCCCUGUGACCCACAUGUACAGGCCUCCUGGAGUCACAAAGCCUGGAGCAACAGGAGAACCACUAAAGAAGAAGAAACGGCUAGUUCCUGCCUUAACCGAUUAACCAAUCUUGCAACAUUCCACCAUUGUGAUCUGUUCCUGCCCUAUCCUAUCUAAUCAAUUGACCUUGUGAUAUCAUGCCUUGUGACCUUCCCCCACCUUGUGACUAUGCACCUUGUGACAUUCUUCCCCUGCCCGAAGAAACCGCCCCUAACUAUCUUUCCACUACCUACCCCAAACCUAUAAAACCAGUUCCACUCCCACCACCCUUCACUGACUCCCUUUUUGGACUCAGCUGAAAAGUGAAUAAACAGCCUUGUUGCUCACA